GCAGGGCGGCGGCGGCGGCGGCGGCGGCGGCGGCGGCGGCGGCGGCGGGUCGGGCCGGGCCGGGCUGGGCCGGGCCGGGCUGCGCUGCCCGGGCGCGGACCUCGCCUCCGCGCCAACUCUUUCUACUUUGCUUGCAAGAAUAACCACCGAGACCAGGAGGCGGCGGGGCCCCUGAACACCGAAGUCCCCACCUUCAGCCGCCUGGAAGGCGAAGACCUCGUCCGCCGCAACUCUCAGUUGGAAAGUAAAGGUGAGUUCGGCGUCUCGGGCCGAGCGGGGAGCGAGCGGGCGGGCGGCGGGGCGGGGGCGGGGGCGGUCCCGGUCCAGGUCCCGGUCCAGGUCCCGGCGCCCCCGCCCGCCCCCGGCCCCGGCCCCGGCCCCAGCCCUGCGCCCGCCCGCCCCAGCCCUGCGCCCGCCGCCCGCCGCCCUCCGCCCUGCGCCCUCCGCCCUGCGCCCGCCGGGCGCCCCUUUGUUGUGCUGGCGGCGAGGCCGGGGCGGCGCUCGGGGUCCCGCGCGGAGUCGGGGCGCGAGGCGGGUGCGGGCUCGGCUCGGGGGACGGGAAACUUUACUCCGGGCUGCCGGGCGGGCGGCGGGCGGCGGGGCCUUUGUGCGGGCCGCCCUGCCCCUCCGCCCGCCCCGCGCCGCCCCGCGCCGCUCCGCCGCCCCGCCCGGCCCGGCCCUGCCCGCCGCCGGCCCCUCCGCCCGGCCCCUCCGCGGCCUCGCCUCCCGCGCCCCGCCGGCCGCCGCUGCCAUGGCCGCCCUCGCCGGGAAGCCCGGGCGCCCGCCGCUGCCGCCCUCCCUGCCUCCGCCCCCUGCUCCCCCCGGGGCCGAGGGCCGGAGCCUGCCCCGGCGCCCCCCGCCCCCCCGCCGCCCGGCCCCGCCUCGGCUGCCUCGGUGGGUCCGGGAGCCGCGGGGCUCACGGGGGGCGGGGGCGGGGGCGCCGGGGCAGGUGGGGCCGGGCCGGGCUGCGGCGCGUCCUCGGGGCUGCGCGGGCGGAGAGGAGCUGCCCCCCGGCCCGGCCCCCCGGGCCCCCCGGUCCCCCCGGGCCCCCGCACCCCGCGGAGCCCCCCGCCGCCCCCGCCGCCCCCGCCGCCCGCCCCUCUCCCCCGUGUUUCUCUUUUGUGUGUCGCGUCCUCAUGA
rnacentral:lncRNA from 1 species